UCUCGCAGGGGGAGGGAGAGAAAAAUCUAAUCUGCAGCCACAGCCACGGUAUCUCCUGGAGAAUCAGGGGGUAGAGCAGCCUGCAACGGGAAGCUGAGCAGCCUCCUGUAGCACUCACCAGCUCAGACAUCUGCAGUACAGAGGGAAGGUGGUAAUAGCAGUGUGGAUCUGCUCUUUUGUUUACAUUAGCUGCUACACAAAGGCCCAUCACCCUAAAAAAUGUCGGUGCUAAAGCCAAGGGAUUUCUCAGCAGCACUUUCAGCCACAGUUUUGUAUUAUUCCAGUCUGAUGCAAUGUUGUACUCUCCAGUAACAGUGAAGAAAUGUGCCAGGCUUUCCAUGUAACCAGCCACUGCUGUUUUCCCCAGGCGGACAAAUGUAACAGAACUAAACUGAGAUGAAGAAGUUACUCUGA